AUAUCAAGUUGAAACACCGGUCCAUGUACGAUCACCGAAGUUAAGCAACGUCGUGUUUUGCCAGUACCUAGAUGGGUGACCACUUGGGAAUACCAAGUGAUGUCC